UAGGGAAUCUUCGGCAAUGGGGGGAACCCUGACCGAGCAACGCCGCGUGAGUGAAGAAGGUUUUCGGAUCGUAAAGCUCUGUUGUUAAGGAAGAACGAGUGUGAGAAUGGAAAGUUCAUGCUGUGACGGUACUUAACCAGAAAGGGACGGCUAACUACGUGCCAGCAGCCGCGGUAAUACGUAGGUCCCGAGCGUUGUCCGGAUUUAUUGGGCGUAAGCGAGCGCAGGCGGUUAGAAAAGUCUGAAGUGAAAGGCAGUGGCUCAACCAUUGUAGGCUUUGGAAACUGUUUAACUUGAGUGCAGAAGGGGAGAGUGGAAUUCCAUGUGUAGCGGUGAAAUGCGUAGAUAUAUGGAGGAACACCGGUGGCGAAAGCGGCUCUCUGGUCUGUAACUGACGCUGAGGCUCGAAAGCGUGGGGAGCGAACAGG
rnacentral:rRNA from 2 species